CUCUUGUCCCGGGCGGCCCCGCGGAUCGGUGGGUGGAGAAUUAGUUUGGCGGAUGGUCGCAGCCGCGGGGUUGCGGUGAAUAGGUCUUCGUGCAGGUGGGAUCGGACACAGGUCGUGUCCCUUAGGGGUCCGUCCCGGGACAGUGCUCUUCAGCAUCUUUAUCGCUGUAGUAGUGGAUUGCUUCUGUUGUGAUCCAAGUGAAAUUGUAAUUCUGAGUAUUUGGUAACAUCAUUUGUAGGAAUAAAAAAACCAAAACAAAUCAACUCAGAGAUUUGCAACUGUUUGCUCAGGCGCGAACCCCAGAACGCAAGAGAUGAAAUCAGAAGGCCUAGUCUGCUGGGCACUCACCUCUGCCAAGGGCUCCUCCUGAAGCUCUGCUGCUGAGCGCCAGAAGACAACCAGCAUUGAAUAAGAAUCACUCAUCCUGAAGAGCAGUCUUAUAAUACAAAGCUGAAAUUACAAACGUGAUUUGAGCUUCUGUUAAAUGAAAGUCCCACAAUUUCAGAACACUGGAAAUUUGGACAAGCCUUCAGGAGCAGGUAUCAGAAAGCUGCAGGAUGCAAAGCAGAUCCAUUAUUCGUAUUAUGUGUGGUCUACAUUCCUGAUGAUUUUCUACUAGAUGAGAAGUCACAGUAGAAGACUCUGUGUCCACCUCUGGGACAAAUGCCCAUUUAUACCUAAACCAAAAGGAUUACAUUGCUAAGAAGACAGGAAAAAAAUUCCCUGUUUGGAUCAAACAUAGUUAGCAAAGCACUGGUUUGUUCACAGAAAGAGCUGUCAUAAUUACAAAGUUGUGCUAUUACCAGAGCUAAACUUAGUGAACUAGGAAGUUACUACUUCAGUACUAUAUCAGUACUUAAAUGCAACUGCCUCCAAAAGACUCCCAAGUGUGGCAAAGGGAAAACAAAGAACUGUCCUUCUUGUUCUUCUCCCUAUUUUUCUAUGUGAAAUAACCUUCAAAUAAAGUGAAAUCUUCCUACAUUGACAAGACUGAAUUGCCUUUCUAAAUAUCCCAAAUUACUUUUGUUCUAGAAUCAAAGUCUGCACUUGUGAAAAGAACAAACAGUGAAAUUAAUAUUUGGAAUUAUAUUAAAGGACAAGUACAGAAACAACCUGCAGAACAGUUAAGCAACUAGAGGACUUACAUUUGGAACAGCUGCAUCCUAUCAGGUGGAAAUGAAAGCGCUGUGUCUAAAAACUUGCAAGCAGAUAAGUACAAAGACAGCUCAUUCUGCUGGAUGUCAGAUCCACUGCCAUCACCUGAGACUUUCUGUUUGCUUAACUUGCUGUUGCUUCUGUGGUAGUAAAAAUUGAGAAGCACACGAUUAAACACAAAUCCACCAAGUGUUUUCCAUUCAGCAAAAGGGAAAUGUACACAUUUACACAAAUGUGCACUUGCACCUGUGCACAAAAGUCUUAUUUUUAUUCCGUAUUAACACUGAGAUUUAUAUAAAAGGCUGUACGUGGAAAGAUAUCUAAAGUAUUCAGAAAAAAGUCAAUGUUAAAAUAUUCAAUAUUCAAACACUGAUUUUCAUAUCCUUGUAUGCAACUGUUAUGUACCAGUUUUUUCUAACUAUAACUAUUUCUGCUGCUUAAAAAAAAAUACUGAUUUACCUGUGUCAGAAAUACACAAGUGAAAAAAAAAAGGCAGAUACAGAGCAAGCGCAAUUGCUAACAGCUUUCGCAGGUUUUACAAGCUUUCAUCAGUUAAAUGUUAAUUCUUACUUUGAUGGUUCAUCUUCCUCAGUUAAUUCUUCUUCCAGUUGUAGAAACGUCUGAAUCUUGAAAUACAUAAAUUUAUGGAAAUGCUGAAUCAUUUGAACAGCUCAAUUAUAAAAAGAUACGCUUCACAUAUUAGUGUAAAUACUAUAAGGAACCACAGACUCUUAGUUUACUCACAGAAUCACAUAGUGGCCCGGGUUGAAAGGGGCCUCAAAGAUCAUUAAUCUCCAACCCCCUUGCCACAUACAGAGCCACCAAACUCUUAAACAAGUUAAGAAAUUGUGAAAGAAAUUGCAUUAUCAACAACAGCAACAUUGAUCAGAAAGGUAUCUCCUAAUAACAGUGUUGCUUCUUUUUCCAAAUUAUCAAACUAACGCAGACCUAUGAAAACAUUUCCUUCCAUCCAGGGGUGGAUCUGCGAGGAGGUGAAAUGCAAAGAAUGUGAGAAACUAAUUUUAAGUUAUCACUCAUUCCUUACCAAUUCAGUUACCAUAAUUGGCCACAAGGAGGUUAGAUGCUGAGGAGAAAUCCUUAACAAUAGAACUCUGAAGAGGAGGAACAUCUGUGCGGCAACUAAAGAAGUCUGUCCAACACGGAGGUUCUCAGUCAGUCGUUCUGAAAUAAAUUAUGUUGGAGUAACAUGUUGGUGUUGAUCCUGAUCUACUCAAACUAGCAGGAGAAUUAUAUAAAACAUACUCUGCAGCUGUCCAGAACUUUAAAGCCCUGCCUCUAACAUGCACAAGUCUCCUCGUUUCAGACUCUUAAAACUGUGGCUGAGGGAUUUCAAGACUUUUAAUUCUUACCAAGACAAAACUAAAAUGGUAAAUUUAAAAACAUACAAUGUUAAAAAAAAUGCAUUAACAUUUGCAUUGUAAGCCUUCAACUAUUCUUUUAAAAGAUUUCAACAAGAGACAAAAGCUGCUUUAUCUUUCAAAGCUCCAGGCAAAUGUUAGGGUCCUAUCCCAUCUCUUCUCCAAUUACUUUUCUUCCAUAUUGUCCUCAAGCCUGAACUAGAGAUCAAAGCAUGUUGCUCAAAGACUUGCUGUACUGGUGCACCAUAUUCCCACAGCUCUGUGCAAGUAUACAGAUGCAUGCAAAGUUAACUGGAGUCUCCUUGCUUUCUCACAGGCAACAGUGCUACAGUCACCUUUCAGCAACUUAAAAUAAUGGCCAAAUGUGCUUGCAGCAGUCCAACAUUAACAUUUCUGGAGUAAAUAUUUUUAAAAUGUUAACAUUACCAAAAUACAGUCUGAACUGAGAACAGUUUUCAGUGGAGAAUGAAGUUGGUCACAUAAUCAAUUCUGCAGACGCAGUGUUGCCUGCAUUUUAUUGACACAUUAGACACCAAACAGCUCAGAACCAAAUUUAAAUAUAAUUAAUUUAAAAUUAAUGCAGAAAUAAGUUAUCAGUAGCUAAUACUUACUCAUCAAGUCUUUAAACAUAGUUUUCUCAUGUGUUAGAAGGUGAUCGAUAAUGGAUCUCCAACUGGAUAAGACAUAGAAGGAACUGGAUAAGUAAAAUAUCAACAAUAUAAAGGACAUGGAUAACCAGAGAAAGCCUUGGUGUAAACUCACAUAAAAAGAUAUUGGACAAACAAUUCAUACUAGGCAACAGUUUCCAACACAAAUUCACUAUGCAGAACCUUAUCCAGUUUACACAUACUGAAUUCUAUGUCCUUCAACUCCAUUAUAUGCCAUUUCCAAACACUAAUGGCAGUUGUUAGCAAGAGAGAGGUUUAUUCUUCUGUGCCAUAAAGAUAACUUAAAUUUCUAUAAUUGAGUUGAGUUUGUUGAGAUCUGUUUUUUAAUGUUACUACAUUCUGUGAGCAAGUACUAUAGAGAACAUUCAAUAUUAGUCUCUAAGUCUUUCUUUGCAAAUCAUCAAAUAAACUCUU